CUUACUUUUUACGUAAUAUUGUAGAAUGUAAUAACUACAUUCUCAUAUGCAAUUAGAAUAUGUAAAUAUAAUAUAUUAGUAGAACCAAAGAAUACUAACACACCCUGUGGGUGUGUUAGUAUUCUUUGGUAGAACCUAUAGGAUGAGAUUGGGUGAUGUUGAAAACAUACUUCUGAGAAAUACAGCACAUCCUUGGAAUAUUCUUCCCAUAUACUAAAAAUAUGUGCGAUAGUACAUUCUAAGUAUAUACAUAGAAGGUAUAUAGCACUUCCUUGGAAUAUUCUUCCCAUAUACUAAAAAUAUGUGCGAUAGUACAUUCUAAGUAUAUAACUAGAAGGUUUAUAGCACCUCCUUAGAAUCUUCUAAAAAGUAUGUUCUUGGUAUAUACUGAAAAGAAGUGCGGUAGUACAUUCUAAGUAUAUACAUAGAACGUUUAAGUACUGUAAUGUAGUAUAUACUCAGUAUAUGCUCUGCACAUUCGCAAUGGUAAUUACGCAUAUUCUAAGUAUAUACUUUUUCUGAAAAGUAUGUUCUAUGAAUCUACUAAGAACAUGAAAUUGUUAUGUGGGAUAUG